ensembl:lncRNA
AAAAAGAAAAAUCCAAAAAUCCCUCUGGAAAUAGUUUUUUUAAUAUUUCAACAAAUAUUUAAGAUUUCAGAUUUCUGUUCUGGACUAUGCAAAUGUAUGCAUAUUUAAUUAGAUAAUGCAUAAAUACAUCAUUUGCAUACUUAAACAGUCAAUUUCACAAAACUUGUAACACAAAAGCUGUAAUUAAUCAUCUUGAAGUAUGGUGGAAUCUAUUAGUUUUGUUAUCCUAUUCACCUCAGGUGUUCUGCCUUAAAAGUUAAAACACUGCUUAUCUACCUUUAGUAAGAAAUAUCACGGAAAUCACAUUUAUUGGCAUGAACACGAGCGCAUCAUCAGUCUCUACUCUUCACAGCUCGUGCUCUUUCAUAAGAGCCCGCCUCUCAGGUCAACGCUGUGAAGCGAUUGGCUCUCGGUCAGAAGCACACUGCUGUGAUUGGCUGAGCCGAGCUGUCCAUCGAAGCGCUCUCUCGUGUUUCCACGUUAAAUGAAAACAAACACUUCCGAAAGCUAAACAUUAUCGUGCACAAGCGACACAGUGUAACGGAACCGGCUCCUGAAGGCAGGGAUCGGGCCCCGGGGCCGCUGCGGGGGACAGGGACACACGCCACACCACUGAAAGCCCCGAGGGCGGAGCGCAGCAGAACACCAGGCUCUUGGUGGGCGCUCCGGGUCUCUGUGUCUGAUGAGGAUGUCUGAGAGAGCUCUGGACGAGGACGGACACCAGCUCAACACGUCUCUGAACUGCAGCGGCGACACACAGCUGCAAACACCUGGACCGAGCGCUGAAAGACUCCAGGUACAGCGGCACGAGCUCCGUCUCCUCCCAGAGUUCAGUGCGGUGUGUCAUGAUGUGCUUCAGUUCUGCAUGCUGCUCAUUUAUCAUCGAGGAUCUGGCUGUCCUGCCUCGAUUACCCCAGGAUCAGCAGGAUUCAGGAGGACGAGGCUGAAGGACAGUCGGUCGGGGAACAGCCUCCAAAGCAGCUCAGAGAACGAGGCCCAGUCUUCAGAGCCGCGGCCGUGGAGCAGCUCCAACCUCAACCUGAAGCAUCCCGGUCCUGACCCGCGGAGACCGCUCCAGCAGCAGCAGGAGCGCGGGACGCCUCUCAAACACAGGUCAGCAGUGCUGUCGUCUACAGUCCCAGCCUGACCUCACAGGCCUCCAGGUGUCACUCAUCUGUAGCUCCGCCUCCUGCCGCUCAGCCCACCAAUCACCUCACAGAACAGGUGAGUUCAGUGGCUCUGAUGCAUUAUGGGAGUAUUUGAUGCCUGUCUUGAUAAAUCAUGAAUCGGCGGAUCAUUAUUUAAGGACGGAUGAGUCUUAAGGAGCCACGUUAUCUUUCUGAAUGUUUCCUGACCAGCCCUUCACUGUGGUACAGCUCUCUUUCUGCUUCCUGUCUCGCUCAGUUCACUUCCUGUCUCAUUGCUCUGUGUUCGUUGUGUUUGUGCCGAGGAUCAGUGUGAGAGUCAUUUGUAUAGUGGAGUGUUUCUCAUUCGUUCUUCACUGCUGUCAAUCCCACAAUGCCCUGCACAAGUCUGCCGCUCGAGUCCCGUAAAGCAGACUUUCCUCGACUUUUUUUUGUCAGCCGAGACUCUUUGAGAUUAAUUUUUUUCUUUUUUAAUUUGUAUUUUUUUUAAAUAUUUAUUUAAAUUUAAAAAAAUUUGAUUAUAAAUUAUUAUUAUUACAUAAUAUAUAUGUGUGCACUCUGUAUAUUUAUUAUGUAUUUAUAAACACACACACAUACAUACAGUAUAUAUUUUGAAAAUAUUUACAUGUUUACAUGUAUAUAUUUAUAUUCAUAUAAUCUAUAUAUAAAUAUAUUUAUUAUGUAAAUACAAUUUUUCUUAAAUAUCUAUGUGUGUGUGUAUUUGUAUGUACAUAGUAACGCAUAUACACGCAUAUUAUGUAAACUUUUAAUUUGAAAAAAUAUAUAUUUUGGAUGUGAUUAAUCACGAUUAAUCGUUUGACAGCACUAGAAUUUUUUUUAACUGCUUAUGUUUGUUAUAUUGAUGUGAGUUGGUUGUCAAUUGUUUUUUGUUUUUUUCUCAUUACUACUGUGUUGUUACUAUUUGUUUCUUACAAAAUACAUUGAUCUUGUCAUGAAAAUCAUAAUAGAUGCUGGUAUGGCAAUAAAAAAAAAAAAAAAAAAGUAUGUUUGGUAUUUUAAGUGUGUUCAGAUCCGUCAGGACGCACAUCAUGUGCUCUGAUGACCUCUUUUUCUUGACCUCCCUCAGCAGUAAACAUCCCUUAAUGGCUAAUUAAAAGAGUGGGAGAGGCUUUGAAUAAUUAAUUCGGGAGCAGAUGCUGGAAUUAAUAUUCUAUGAAUAGAAAAGCGUGUCGUCUCUUCCCAUUUCUAAUAUAAUCCAUGCAGACCGAUAGUUACAGCAGGUCAUCUCACUGCACAUUGCUUUGGGAGUCACCCUUCUAGCUAGUAACGUGUGUUAGUUAGUUAGUUAGUUAGUUAGUUAGUUAGUUAGUUAGUUCAGCUGUUCAGACGUCUGGUGUGGACUCUUCUGUCAGCAGGAGAAUCUGAGCGCUCCGUUGGGUCACAUGAUGCUGGUCCAGCAGGCCAGCAGUAGUUCUGUAUGUUGUCUCUGGGUUAGCAUCAUCUGAGGUCCUCUGAGGGGUUGCAUCAUCUCUUCUCAGGUGUUCUGGAUCCAGACUGGAGCUUGUGUAAAUCCUAGUUACCACGGGAUGUAAAUCCAGCAGAAACAGAGAAACAAAUAGAGACAUAAUUAGCAUAGCUGCUGUUCCAGCCAAGUAAAAUUAAUAAGUUAAACCCAAGCUAAAGAAUAAUAAUAAUGCACAUUUGAUCAGAUAUAACUGCAGUCCAAAAUUAUGAGAUGCAUUAUUUGAAUGCUUGGCCAAAGAGGUGUGUUUUUAAUCUAGAUUUAAACAGAGAGAGUGUGUCUGAACCCCGAACAUUAUCAGGAAGGCUAUUCCAGAGUUUGGGAGCCAAAUGUGAAAAAGCUCUACCUCCUUUAGUGGACUUUGCUAUCCUAGGUACUAUCAAAAGUCCAGCGUUUUGUGACCUUAGGGAGCGUGAUGGGUUGUAGCGUGGUAGAAGACUAGUUAGGUACGCAGGAGCUAAGCCAUNAGAGGACCUAGGACAGAUCCUUGUGGCACUCCAUAUUUUACUGGUGAUAAAUGAGAUGACUCCCCAUUUAGAUAAACAAAGUGGUAGCGAUCGGACAGGUAGGAUCUAAACCAUCUUAAAGCCUGCCCUUGGAUACCUGUAUAGUUUUGUAAUCGAUCUAUGAGUAUGUCGUGAUCUGUAGUGCUUCUAAUUAGCUUUUACAAGCAGUUGCAUAAAUUUUACAAAAUACACAUACUUCCUUCUGCACCAAUGCAAUGUGCAGCAGUUUUUGCACCCAAUUUUGCUACCAAAUUAUUUAGUUUAACCUUCAGUGAAAAGUUUUCCUCAACAUUGCACAAUUUCUGGCACAUGUGUUUCUGAAUAUGAUGAAUGAUGAGACAAGCUUAGCUUUAUAAACGGCUUCGAAGCACUGUUAUAGAUAGUGUGUUUAGUGUGCAUAAUGGGCUUUGCUGUUAGAGCUCAGAAUGUUAUUCAGACCUCAAGUGGCCAGGACCAUGUAUUGGGACGGACCCAGAAAUCUGUCCUUGCAGCUGUGAUGAGUUCAGUGGUUGUAGGUGUUGUGUGUCACUAGAGUUCACU